rnacentral:tRNA from 1 species
GCAUCGGUGGUUCAGUGGUAGAAUGCUCGCCUGCCACGCGGGGUUCGAUUCCCGGCCGAUGCA